rnacentral:rRNA from 1 species
UACGUAGGUGGCAAGCGUUGUCCGGAAUUAUUGGGCGUAAAGCGCGCGCAGGCGGUCCUUUAAGUCUGAUGUGAAAGCCCACGGCUCAACCGUGGAGGGUCAUCGGAAACUGGGGGACUUGAGUGCAGAAGAGGAAAGCGGAAUUCCACGUGUAGCGGUGAAAUGCGUAGAGAUGUGGAGGAACACCAGUGGCGAAGGCGGCUUUCUGGUCUGUAACUGACGCUGAGGCGCGAAAGCGUGGGGAGCAAACAGG